UCCCUGAUGGUCCAGUGGUUAAGACUCUGCACUUCCAAUGCAGGGGGUGUGGGUUUGAUCUUUGAUUGGGGAA
rnacentral:tRNA from 1 species